rnacentral:rRNA from 1 species
UACGUAGGGUGCAAGCGUUAAUCGGAAUUACUGGGCGUAAAGCGUGCGCAGGCGGUUUUGUAAGUCUGUCGUGAAAUCCCCGGGCUCAACCUGGGAAUUGCGAUGGAGACUGCAAGGCUAGAAUCUGGCAGAGGGGGGUAGAAUUCCACGUGUAGCAGUGAAAUGCGUAGAGAUGUGGAGGAACACUGAUGGCGAAGGCAGCCCCCUGGGUCAAGAUUGACGCUCAUGCACGAAAGCGUGGGGAGCAAACAGG